rnacentral:rRNA from 1 species
CAGCGCCACAAGUGGCAAUCGUUAUUAUUGGGCCUAAAGCAUCCGUAGCCGGCGCUGUAAGUUUUCGGUUAAAUCUGUACGCUCAACGUACAGGCUGCCGGGAAUACUGCAGCGCUAGGGAGUGGGAGAGGUAGACGGUACUCGGCAGGAAGGGGUAAAAUCCUUUGAUCUAUUGAUGACCACCUGUGGCGAAGGCGGUCUACCAGAACACGUCCGACGGUGAGGGAUGAAAGCUGGGGGAGCAAACCGGAUUAGAGACCCGAGUAGUCC